UGUGCCGCAAAAGCAUGCUCAAGCGGCAGAGUCGAUUUCCGCGCUUAUAAACCCAGGGUCGUUACACUACUCCCUCCUUUCAAAGAGCGCGUCCUCGCGACUUUACGUCUUACAGGAACGCGCUCACCGGCCAAGCACACGCACUGUCGUGGAUGCGAGGUCCGAUCACUUCCGACACCAAUGUAAUGAAACAGGCAGGGAGCAGGUCUCGAACCCUCGACCUCCUAGCCCGAGGUCCGGCGCGCUAUCGACUGUGCCGCAAAAGCAUGCUCCAGCGGCAGAGUCGAUUUCCGCGCUUAUAAACCCAGGGUCGUUACAAUAUAUUCCUUAUACACGCAAGGUAACGUUACUCAUUUCAUAACCUUGAUGGUGUUAUAUUCAAUCGUGCUUAUGUAGCUCGCUACAUUCUUCUAUUAGCUCUGUAAAACAAUGCUAAUUUCGUCAGAGAAGUAUUAGCUUGUGUUGUAUUUUGAAGCUACCCUGGCCUUAUGAAUCCCAAGUGGCGCAGCGGUCUAAGGCACAGCAUCUCAGCGCUAGAGGCGUCACUACAAACACCCUGGUUUAAAUCCAGGCUGCGUUUCUAUUAAAAAACCACAAACAGUAUUUGCCAAUAUCAUAACUGGAACUGGAGCUGGACAUCUUACAAGCUGAAGGUUGAGGCCAGCUUUGUAUGCUAGCGUACACUCCUUAACAGUUUUACUGGAUGAAAACACAGCAAGAAAACACAUACUGUAUGCCAAUAUGUAAUAGUCAUCUAUUUUAUUGCAGUAUUGGUUGUGGUUGGUUGAACAACAACAACAAAAACUUGUUUUACUAGAGGAAAAAAAUGGAAUAUGCAUAACCCAUAUUUCAUAUUCAUGCUGUGACUGAACAAUAACUGCCCCAAAGUGGUCCUCAGAUUCAGGGUUCUCAAUGGCUGAAAGGUUGGGGCAGCUCCUCACUGUCAGAAUCUGAUUCCUGACCUUCAGACUUAAUGUCAGAAUUUUAAAAAAUCUCCAGAAUUUCCGCAUUUGUGAGUUGUCUCCUUUUGAAAGACAUUGCUAAUGCUACAGCUUAGCUCACUAGCUACAUACAUACAGUUGAAGUCAAAAGUUUACAUACACUUAGAUUGGAGUCAUUAAAACUUGUUUUCAACCACUCCACAAAUCUCUUGUUAACGAACCAUAGUUUUGGCAAGUCAGUUAGGACAUCUACUUUGUGCAUGACGCAAGUCAUUUUUCCAACAAUUGUCUACAGACAGAUUAUUUCACUUAUAACUCACUGUAUCACAAUUCCAGUGGGUCAGAAGUAGAGGUCAACCGAUUAUGAUUUUUCAACGCCGAUACCGAUUAUUGGAGGGCCAAAAAAGCCGAUACCGAUUAAUCGGACGGUUUUUAAAAUGUAUUUGUAAUAAUGACAAUUACAACAAUACUGAAUGAACACUUAUUUUAACUUAAUAUAAUACAUCAAUAAAAAUUCAUUUAACUUCAAAUAAAUAAUGAAACAUGUUCAAUUUGGUUUAAAUAAUGCAAAAACAAAGUGUUGGAGAAGAAAGUAAAAGUGCAACAUGUGCCAUGUAAAAAAGCUAACGUUUAAGUUCCUUGCUCAGAACAUGAGAUCAUAUGAAAGCUGGUGGUUCCUUUUAACAUGAUACUUCAAUAUUCCAAGGUAAGAGGUUUUAGGUUGUAGUUAAUAUAGUAUUUAUAGGAAUAUUUCUCUCUAUACCAUUUGUAUUCCAUAUACCUUUGACUAUUGGAUGUUCUUAUAGGCACUUUAGUAUUGCCAGUGUAACAGUAUAGCUUCCGUCCCUCUCCUCGUGCUGUGCUUCAAGCAUUGCGCUGUUUAUGACUUCAAGCCUAUCAACUCCCGAGAUUAGGCUGGUGUAACCGAUGUGAAAUGGCUAGCUAGUUAGCGGGGUGCACGCUAAUAGCGUUUCAAACGUCACUCGCUCUGAUGGGUCACCAUGCUCUGCAUGGGUAACGCUGCUUCGAGGGUGGUUGUUGUCAAUGUGUUCCUGGUUCGAGCCCAGGUAGGCUGGUUCGAGCCCAGGUAGACCCAAUGCUUGAAGCACAGUGAAGAGCUGCUGGCAAAACGCACUAAAGUGCUGUUUGAAUGAAUGCUUACGAGCCUGCUGCUGCCUACCAUCGCUCAGUCAGACUGCUCUAUCAAAUAUCAAAUCAUAGAUUUAAUUAUAACAUAAUAACACACAGAAAUACGAGCCUUUGGUCAUUAAUAUGGUCGAAUCCGGAAACUAUAAUUUCGAAAACAAAACGUUUAUUAUUAUCGCAUAUAAGAAGUGACACAAUUUCACCUCGUUAAUAUUGCCUGCUAACCUGGAUUUCUUUUAGCUAAAUAUGCAGGUUUAAAAAUAUAUACUUCUGUGUAUUGAUUUUAAGAAAGGCAUUGAUGUUUAUGGUUAGGUACACGUUGGUACAAGUCAUUUUUCUGCGAAUGCGCACCGCAUCGAUUAUAUGCAACGCAGGACACGCUAGAUAAACUAGUAAUUUCAUCAACCAUGUGUAGUUAACUAGUGAUUAUGAUUGAUUGAUUGAUUGUUUUUUAUAAGAUAAGUUUAAUGCUAGCUAGCAACUUACCUUUGCUUCUUACUGCAUUCGCGUAACAGGCAGGCUCCUCGUGAAGUGCAAUGAGAGGCAGGUGGUUAGAGCAUUGGACUAGUUAACUGUAAGGUUGCAAGAUUGAAUCCCGGAGCUGACAAGGUAAAAAUCUGUCGUUCUGCCCCUGAACAAGGCAGUUAACCCACCGUUCCUAGGCCAUCAUUGAAAAUAAGAAUGUGUUCUUAACUGACUUGCCUAGUUAAAUAAAGGUGUAAAAACUUGUUAUGAAAACUUGAAAUCGUCCCUAAUUAAUUGGCCAUUCCGAUUAAUCGGUCGACCUCUAGUCAGAAGUUUACAUACACUAAGUUGACUGUGCCUUUAAACAGCUUGGAAAAUUCCAGAAAAUUAUGUCAUGCUUUAGAAGCUUCUGAUAGGCUAAUUGACAUCAUUUGAGUCAAUUGGAGGUGUACCUGUGGAUGUAUUUCGAGGCCUACCUUCAAACUCAGAGCCUCUUUGCUUGAUAUCACGGGAAAAUCCAAAGAAAUCAGCCAAGAACUCAGAAAAAACAUUGUAGACCUCCACAAGUCUGGUUCAUCCUUGGGAGCAAAUUCCAAACGCCUGAAGGCACCACGUUCAUCUGUACAAACAAUAGUAUGCAAGUAUAAACACCAUGGGACCACGCUGCCGUCAUGCAGGAAGGAGACGUGUUCUGUCUCCUAGAGAUGAAUGUACUUUGGUGCGAAACGUGCAAAUCAAUCCCAGAACAACAGCAAAGGACCUUGUGAAGAUUCUGGAGGAAACAAGUACAAAAGUAUCUAUCCACAGUAAAACGAGUCCUAUAUUGACAUAACCUGAAAGGCCGGUCAGCAGGAAGAAGCCACUGCUCCAAAACCGCCGUAAAAAAAGCCAGACUAUGGUUUGCAACUGCACAUAGGGACAAAGAUCGUGCUUUUGCAAAAAAUGUCCUCUGGUCUGAUGAAACAAAAAUAGAACUGUUUGGCCAUAAUGACCAUCAUUAUGUUUGGAGGAAAAAGGGGGAGGCUUGCAUGCCGGAGAACACCAUCCCAACCUUGAAGCACAGGGGUGGCAGCAUCAUGUUGUUGUGGUGCUUUUCUGCAGGAGGGACUGGUGCAUUUCACAAAAUAGAUGGCAUCAUGAGAAAGGAAUAUUAUGUGGAUAUAUUGAAGCAACAUCUCAAGACAUCAGUCAGGAAGUUAAAGCUUGGUCGCAAAUGGUUCUUUCAAAUGGACAAUGACCCCAAGCAUACUUCCAAAGUUGUGGCAAAAUGGCUUAAGGACAACAAAGUCAAGGUAUUGGAGUGGCCAUCACAAAGCCCUGACUUCAAUCCUAUAGAAAAUUUGUGAGCAGAACUGAAAAAGUGUGUGCGAGCAAGGAGGCUUAGAAACCUGAUUAAGUUACACCAGCUCUGUCAGAAGGAAUGGGCCAACAUUCACCCAACUUAUUGUGGGAAGCUUGUUGAAGGCUACCCGAAACAUUUGACCCAAGUUAAACAAUUUAAAGGCAAUGCUACCAAAUACUAAUUGAGUGUAUGUAAACUUCUGACCCACUGGGAAUGUGAUGAAAGAAAUAAACGCUGAAAUAACUCAUUCUCUCUACUAUUAUUCUGACAUUUCACAUUCUUAAAAUAAAGUGGUGAUCCUAACUGACCUAAGACAGGGAAUUUUUACUAGGAUUAAAUGUCAGGAAUUGUGAAAACUGAAUUUAAAUGUAUUUGGCUAAGGUGUAUGUAAACUUCCGACUUCAACUAUAUAUACAAUUACUAAUCAGGGGAAUUGGAAUAGGUGUGCGUAAUGAGACAGUUCACUGAUGUCUAGAGGCCGGUGACGUAGACCUCCGGAACUGGUGCAUGGAAGGGCAGCAGUGCCGGGGGAAUCCGUGACAAUAUCUCAGUUUCAAGGUCUCAGCUUGGAGAGAAGAAGCCUCGUGCGGUAUUGGUCAAUCACAUACAUGAAACAAACGUUAAUGAUGAAUUAAUUAUGAAUAAUAUAAAUCAUGCAAAUAUAACUUGUCAGUGUAAGCAGUAUAUAUGAGAACUAACAGGACUGCCCCGGUGGAGCUCACUUCAAACUGAGUUGAAAUGUAUUUGGCUAAGGUGUAUGUAAACUUCCGACUUCAACUGUAAACAACAACACUGAAUGGCUCAGAGUGGGAGUGAGAGGUUACGUGAUUGACUGCCGGCACGCGCCACUUGUAUCAAUAAAUCACGAUCAGAAAAUG